GACGAACGCUGGCGGCGUGCUUAACACAUGCAAGUCGAACGGUGAAGCGCCUUCCUUUUUGGUGGGUGUGGAUGAGUGGCGAACGGGUGAGUAACACGUGAGUAACCUGCCCCCUUCUUCUGGAUAACCGCAUGAAAGUGUGGCUAAUACGGGAUAUUCUGGGUCUGUCGCAUGAUGGGUCUGGGAAAGAUAUUGUUUCGGUGGGGGAUGGGCUCGCGGCCUAUCAGCUUGUUGGUGGGGUGAUGGCCUACCAAGGCGGUGACGGGUAGCCGGGCUGAGAGGGUGGACGGUCACACUGGGACUGAGACACGGCCCAGACUCCUACGGGAGGCAGCAGUGGGGAAUAUUGCACAAUGGGCGCAAGCCUGAUGCAGCGACGCCGCGUGAGGGAUGGAGGCCUUCGGGUUGUGAACCUCUUUCGCCAGUGAAGCAGGCCUGCCUCGUUUGUGGGUGGGUUGACGGUAGCUGGAUAAGAAGCGCCGGCUAACUACGUG
rnacentral:rRNA from 1 species